GCUUCAAUUCCUUUAUCUGUCUUCAAACAUUGCUUCAUCUCCUUCAAUCAGAUCAGCAUAAGUAACCUAAGAUUAUUGGGUCAAUUGGUCAAGGCCAGUAGUGUCGUGGCGUAAAUUAUUCAUGCCUCUUCCCUCCCAAGCCGAUACGACCAGUGAAACGUUCCGACGGCUUACAUCAUGGUCAAAUGACGGUGGAGAUCCGAGGCUAACAGCAGCAGAACGCUGUAGAUAAGUUGGUGGCGGCUGCGGCCGAGUAGUAUUCGUAAGCUUACUGUAACUCUUUGGAUCGAAAGGGAUGGCAUGCCGACUAGGUCCACUAUCACAUUUGAAGAAAGCGUCGUCGAAAGGAAGAGACUGAACACAAGGUGCAUGAUGAAAUGCUGCAAUAAAGGACCGCGGCGGAAUAGGGAGAUGGUUUUCAUACGAGGACGAUGCUGCAUGGCGCACGGUGGGCAGGAAUCGACGAAAUGGAAUCUCCUGUCAUCCCGGCAGCUUUACACCGUAUCCAUGACGAGCCCACGUCGAACAUGGCGACUCGAGGGAUCAAACACAUAUGCAUGGGCGAGUGAUGUUUAAAGUUGAUGUGACACAGUACGCGGUAGUGUGCCUUUGAUUCGCUAUGGUGCGAUGCCAAUCACACGUUCAUUGCUAAUUAACUAAUGAUGGCGCUUGAUGAGAUG